rnacentral:rRNA from 1 species
AGGACGAACGCUGGCGGCGUGCCUAACACAUGCAAGUCGAGCGAUGAAGUCCUUCGGGAACGGAUAGCGGCGGACGGGUGAGUAACACGUGGGUAACCUGCCUCAAAGAGGGGGAUAGCCUCCCGAAAGGGAGAUUAAUACCGCAUAACACUAUUUUCUCGCAUGAGAAGAUAAUCAAAGGAGUAAUCCCGCUUUGAGAUGGACCCGCGGCGCAUUAGCUAGUUGGUGAGGUAACGGCUCACCAAGGCGACGAUGCGUAGCCGACCUGAGAGGGUGAUCGGCCACAUUGGAACUGAGACACGGUCCAGACUCCUACGGGAGGCAGCAGUGGGGAAUAUUGCGCAAUGGGGGAAACCCUGACGCAAGCAACGCCGCGUGAGUGAUGAAGGUCUUCGGAUUGUAAAGCUCUGUCUUUGGGGACGAUAAUGACGGUACCCAAGGAGGAAGCCACGGCUAACUACGUGCCAGCCGCUGC